CAAUAUCUUAUUUGAGCCUAUUACAUUUUUAUUAAACCUAAGACAAAAUGAUGUAAUAAUGUCAUAAAUAUAACCUAAAAGGUGUCCUUUAAGAAACUAAAACUUCAGUCUUCUGACUGAAGCCAUCUAAUAAAAAUUCCAAUCAAUAGCACCUAAAAGUAUGUUAUACCUGCUCCCACUUUAUAAGAGACAGUAAACCAUCAAAAUGAGUCCAUUAAAUUAUUAACUAUAUUGGUUACAAUGUUUUAGAAGCUGUUUUCAAGUGAUUUAUUAUAUAUGGUUUCAAUGUAUAUCAAUAAAUGGCAGGUAAACUCAGAAAUGUAUUAAACAAAAGAUUAUACACAUAACAUUUACAGUACCUAAAACUGUCUGACUUGUGUUUGUAAUAAACAUUUAAAUUUAUUAAAGGGCCAAGGAAAAAAGUUAACAUUGAAUAUUCAGAACAAAGAGUAGUUUUAUCCAAGGGACUAUUUCAUUGGCAGAUGGAAGUGAAUAUGCAAAAUUGUCCCAGUUAAGCAAAUGUUCCAGAUAAAUUUUCAAGAUAAAACAUGUUUGCAGUCCUAUGCAAUUUGCACUAUUUUUAAUGGUCUGUUCCUGGAUGGUUUUUCAUAUGACUUAAAUUAUUUUUAUCAUCCUACUCCUUUGAAACAACACUGAAUAUGAAAAAACUGAAAUGUAAGGAAAGCUCUGGCCAGGCAGUGGGACGGAGUAGAAGAAUGAUGUUUUAACAGGACUAUGAAAGGAUGAUAGAUGUACAAGAGAAAGUUCUUAAACAUCUUGGAGAUGAAGCCAUUAAGCCCUCAGACCUCAUGGUAUCUGUCUCAUCAUUCCGUCGAAAACUCAUUAUACAAACAGUUCAGUACUUACAAGAUGUAUAGCCUUAGUGCUCUAGUGUUAGGGCCUCAUUCUUGGAAACACUGUAUUGAAUUUAUGGAUGAAAUUUGAAAGGAAAAAACUGUGAUUCCAAGAUUAGAAAGGAAUGCAUCCACAGGGGUUAAGAGAUUCUGAAAUCAAAAGCCCUGGGUUUGAUUCCCAGCUUCACCAAGUGUAAGAUAUGUGACCUUGGGCAACUUGCUAACUCUUAAUAUACUGUUGUUUCCUCACUUGUGAAAUGAAAAUAACAAUGUCACUCACCUCAUAGGGCUGCUGUGAGAAGUAAACCAUACCAUAACUAUUCAGUUCUGGCAGACAAGAAAUUCAUGGACGAUGACAGAAAAAAAGUGGCUGAAAUAAUCAGACACUGCAACAUUCACAUGAACGUGCUUCUAUUGCAAAGAGCUAUAAGCGCUAAGAAUUUCAAUCACCUGUAUAUGUCAUUAGAAAGCUUCCUAGACUAAACUCAAACUCAACUUGCAAAUAAAAGAAAGGAUUCUGAAUUUUAGAAUAAAAAAUUAACAUGUUUCACACUUAAUAGUAACAAAAUUUAAAAUAACCACAAUCUUGAAUUAAUGUAACAUUACCUGGAAAUAACUGGCUGCCAGAUCUUAAUGGGAAAAAAGAAUAUUUUGAAUAUUUGUGUGAUUUUACUAAAACAAACACAAGAAUUGCAUAACUUUUUUCCAAGUUGAAUUACUAAGAAAACUCUCUUAAGUGGUCAUCAAAAAUUAACAUUCACCAAAUUUCUCUGAAAAUAUAAAUAAUUUUAAGGUAAGAAGGAGUCUUUGAUAUCAUCAAGUCCAAAGCACUUGCUUUACACAGAGGAAACUGAGUCCCAAAGAUAUGUGCUUUGCCCCAGGUCAUACAGAGUAGUGAUCAGAGACCAAGUGCUGGAAUAAGAUCCCCAAGUGCAAUAACACUGUUCAUUUCAAGACAUCACACUAAUGCUGGAAUGCAUUUACUAGUACAAAGUUACAAACUAGAGAGGAACUGUAGCCUUUGGUAUUUGCUUACUAUUUAUCAAUUCCUAUUCAGAGUCAAGUAUCCUAUAUAAUGUGCUGAUUAAAAAGAUAUUAGGAAAUGAGCCAUCUUCCAAAAAUAGAAAAGAACAAAUUAAGUUGUUAAAUAAGAUUUAAUCAAGUAUUCCUAGAGGGAAAGAGUCAAAAGAUAAAAGAUCAUUUUCUUCAUGACUUUAUGAUAUGAAAACUCUUUAUCUACAGGAAAGCAUCAGUUGUCUUUCAAAUUCAAGGCCCAAAAAAUCAUGCAAAAUACCAAGAAAAUUACACCAGUGCAGUAGAUCAUUCUUCCAAAAAAUCAUGCAAAAUACCAAGAGAUUUAGACCAGUGCAGUAGAUCAUUCUUCCAAAGAUCUCCCACUCAGGAUGUUCCUUUAUAAGAUGAAUUUAUCAUUUUCCCAUCAACAGCUGGAGUCUGUUUCCUCUCUCUUUGAAAAUGAAUGGGUCCUAUGAUCUGUUUUGAACUAGAAAUUGUGUUGGAAAUGAUACUAGAGGUGACUUCUAUUGUAAGGCCUUAUGAGGUCUGCACAACUUCCAACUUUACUGCUUAUAAUGCUUCCUUUGGAAACCAAAUCACCAUGCUCUGAAGAAGCACAAGUAGGAAUGCAGAGAGGACAACACAGAAAGCCGAGGUUCUUUGCUGAUAGCUCCCACUGAGCUACCAACUGACACCACCAAUCUCCAGCAUGUGAAUGAGUUAAUUUCAAUUUCCAGCCAUCCCCUCACCUCAUCUAAUGCCACAUUAAGCACAAUGCUCAGAAAUGCCCUGCUCAAAUUCCCGAUGCCGAAAAUACUGAGCAGAUUAAAUGCUGUUGGUAAGUCAAUGAAUUAAGCUUCCAAGGUCACAUAACCCUCUACUUACUCUUCAGGCUAAGUGACCUUCUUAUGUGCUUCUGUAAUGCACCAUUAUUCCCCUCCCAUAGCACUCACCAUGCUCCACCUUAAUUACCUCUGACUUACCUUUGCUUCUCACUGUGCAUCAUGAAAAAACAAUUCCAUAUAGUAUUAGACAGCUGCAGCAGUCAAGAAAAUAUUGGCAUCCCAAAUACCUAUGCAAUGCUUGGACAAUACUUAUUCCUACCAAUAAUGUAUAAUUUCUAGAGUAUAUCAGUCUAAAUUGAAUAAACAAGGUAAUACAAAAAACUU
rnacentral:lncRNA from 1 species